rnacentral:lncRNA from 1 species
UAUGUAGCCCCUUAAAAAAAGUUACUUGAGCCGAUAUGAGAAAGGUUUUGAUAGUGAGGACACAUUUUUUCCUUACAAACUUCAGGAGCCUCGAUCACCGCAUCCUUCGCCACCAUUUUACUAGAGCAAUUUCAAGGUCAUAUGGGCAUCACAAGGGGCAAGAAUAUGUUCUAAGCGCCACAAAACAAAUUUUCUAGAUAUUGGAAA